GACGAACGCUGGCGGCGUGCUUAACACAUGCAAGUCGAACGGUAAGGCCCUUCGGGGUACACGAGUGGCGAACGGGUGAGUAACACGUGGGUGAUCUGCCCUGCACUUCGGGAUAAGCCCGGGAAACUGGGUCUAAUACCGGAUAGUACUGCGCGGUGCAUGCCGUGUGGUGGAAAGAUUUAUCGGUGCAGGAUGGGCCCGCGGCCUAUCAGCUUGUUGGUGGGGUAAUGGCCUACCAAGGCGACGACGGGUAGCCGGCCUGAGAGGGCGACCGGCCACACUGGGACUGAGACACGGCCCAGACUCCUACGGGAGGCAGCAGUGGGGAAUAUUGCACAAUGGGCGCAAGCCUGAUGCAGCGACGCCGCGUGAGGGAUGACGGCCUUCGGGUUGUAAACCUCKYUCAKCAGGGACGAAGCGCAAGUGACGGUACC
rnacentral:rRNA from 1 species